rnacentral:rRNA from 1 species
GAUGAACGCUGGCGGCGUGCCUAAUACAUGCAAGUCGAGCGAACGGACGAGAAGCUUGCUUCUCUGAUGUUAGCGGCGGACGGGUGAGUAACACGUGGAUAACCUACCUAUAAGACUGGGAUAACUUCGGGAAACCGGAGCUAAUACCGGAUGAUAUUUUGAACCGCAUGGUUCAAAAGUGAAAGACGGUCUUGCUGUCACUUAUAGAUGGAUCCGCGCUGCAUUAGCUAGUUGGUAAGGUAACGGCUUACCAAGGCAACGAUGCAUAGCCGACCUGAGAGGGUGAUCGGCCACACUGGAACUGAGACACGGUCCAGACUCCUACGGGAGGCAGCAGUAGGGAAUCUUCCGCAAUGGGCGAAAGCCUGACGGAGCAACGCCGCGUGAGUGAUGAAGGUCUUCGGAUCGUAAAACUCUGUUAUUAGGGAAGAACAUAUGUGUAAGUAACUGUGCACAUCUUGACGGUACCUAAUCAGAAAGCCACGGCUAACUACGUGCCAGCAGCCGCGGUAAUACGUAGGUGGCAAGCGUUAUCCGGAAUUAUUGGGCGUAAAGCGCGCGUAGGCGGUUUUUUAAGUCUGAUGUGAAAGCCCACGGCUCAACCGUGGAGGGUCAUUGGAAACUGGAAAACUUGAGUGCAGAAGAGGAAAGUGGAAUUCCAUGUGUAGCGGUGAAAUGCGCAGAGAUAUGGAGGAACACCAGUGGCGAAGGCGACUUUCUGGUCUGUAACUGACGCUGAUGUGCGAAAGCGUGGGGAUCAAACAGGAUUAGAUACCCUGGUAGUCCACGCCGUAAACGAUGAGUGCUAAGUGUUAGGGGGUUUCCGCCCCUUAGUGCUGCAGCUAACGCAUUAAGCACUCCGCCUGGAGAGUACGACCGCAAGGUUGAAACUCAAAGGAAUUGACGGGGACCCGCACAAGCGGUGGAGCAUGUGGUUUAAUUCGAAGCAACGCGAAGAACCUUACCAAAUCUUGACAUCCUUUGACAACUCUAGAGAUAGAGCUUUCCCCUUCGGGAGACAAAGUGACAGGUGGUGCAUGGUUGUCGUCAGCUCGUGUCGUGAGAUGUUGGGUUAAGUCCCGCAACGAGCGCAACCCUUAAGCUUAGUUGCCAUCAUUAAGUUGGGCACUCUAAGUUGACUGCCGGUGACAAACCGGAGGAAGGUGGGGAUGACGUCAAAUCAUCAUGCCCCUUAUGAUUUGGGCUACACACGUGCUACAAUGGACAAUACAAAGGGCAGCGAAACCGUGAGGUCAAGCAAAUCCCAUAAAGUUGUUCUCAGUUCGGAUUGUAGUCUGCAACUCGACUACAUGAAGCUGGAAUCGCUAGUAAUCGUAGAUCAGCAUGCUACGGUGAAUACGUUCCCGGGUCU